rnacentral:rRNA from 1 species
UACGAAGGGGGGCUAGCGUUGCUCGGAAUCACUGGGCGUAAAGGGGUGCGUAGGCGGGGUCUUUAAGUCAGGGGGUGAAAAUCCUGGAGCUCAACUCCAGAACUGCCUUUGAUACUGAAGAUCUUGAGUUCGGGAGAGGUGAGUGGAACUGCGAGUGUAGAGGUGAAAUUCGUAGAUAUUCGCAAGAACACCAGUGGCGAAGGGCGGCUCACUGGCCCCGAUACUGACG